UCUCCAGGUCGAAUGCCAGGAUAGGC
rnacentral:piRNA from 1 species